GACGAACGCUGGCGGCGUGCUUAACACAUGCAAGUCGAACGGAAAGGCCCUGCUUUUGUGGGGUGCUCGAGUGGCGAACGGGUGAGUAACACGUGAGUAACCUGCCCUUGACUUUGGGAUAACUUCAGGAAACUGGGGCUAAUACCGGAUAGGAGCUCCUGCUGCAUGGUGGGGGUUGGAAAGUUUCGGCCGUUGGGGAUGGACUCGCGGCUUAUCAGCUUGUUGGGGGGGUAGUGGCUUACCAAGGCUUUGACGGGUAGCCGGCCUGAGAGGGUGACCGGCCACCUUGGGACUGAGAUACGGCCCAGACUCCUACGGGAGGCAGCAGUGGGGAAUAUUGCGCAAUGGGCGGGAGCCUGAUGCAGCAACGCCGCGUGCGGGAUGACGGCCUUCGGGUUGUAAACCGCUUUCGCCUGUGACGAAGCGUGAGUGACGGUAAUGGGUAAAGAAGCACCGGCUAACUACGUG
rnacentral:rRNA from 1 species